rnacentral:rRNA from 1 species
AUAACAAUACAGGACUUUUUACAGGCCCUGUAAUUGGAAUGAGUCCACUUUAAAUCCUUUAACGAGGAUCUAUUGGAGGGCAAGUCUGGUGCAGAGCGUCUGACCUGUGCGUGCUGCAGCUGAAA